CAGCGCCGCGGUAAUACAGAGGGUGCGAGCGUUAAUCGGAUUUACUGGGCGUAAAGCGUGCGUAGGCGGCUUCUUAAGUCGGAUGUGAAAUCCCUGAGCUUAACUUAGGAAUUGCAUUCGAUACUGGGAAGCUAGAGUAUGGGAGAGGAUGGUAGAAUUCCAGGUGUAGCGGUGAAAUGCGUAGAGAUCUGGAGGAAUACCGAUGGCGAAGGCAGCCAUCUGGCCUAAUACUGACGCUGAGGUACAAAAGCAUGGGGAGCAAACAGGAUUAGAUACCCCAGUAGUCCCUGUCUCUUAUACA
rnacentral:rRNA from 1 species